rnacentral:rRNA from 1 species
AACUAGGAUUAGAUACCCUAUUAUGGAUUAUUAAAAGGAAUUAUUAAUAGUAUGAAAAUUAAUAAAUUUUGACGGUUAAUUAUAUUAUUAGAGGAGCUUGUUUGAAAUAAGAAUUUACUCUUUAUAUUUUAGUAUUUUAAGUUUAUUCAUCUCUGUUAUUAGAUAAGAUUUGGUAAUAAAAUAUUUUUAUUAUUUCAGGUCAAGAUGUAGCAUAAAAUAUUAAGAAUUAGCUACAAUUACUAAGUAAAUAAUUAUUACUCUGAAAUUAGGUUAUUAUUAUUUGAAUUUAGUGGUAAUUAUAUUUAUAAUGCUAUUAUGAUUUUAUAUAGUUAGUGUACAUAUCGCCCGUCACUCA